AACUCUCUAUCCCUCUCCCUUCCUCUCUGUAAAAAAUCAAUAAAAUAUAUAUUAAAAAAAUAAAAUAAACGUCUUCCACAUGCCACCCAUUGUCUACUCUCAUUCCAGGGAAGAGAGAAGACUCCCCCAGUGCCUACUGUCAAGACAUCAAUGUCAAGAUUUAGGCUCUUACAUCUGUUGUCUCUUGGAUAGGACAACAAUCAUGGAUAGUUAGGACGAAAGGAAUACGUAACCCAUUUUUCUCCAGGAUUAUUUUGGUCAACCACCUCAUCUAAUAGCUUCCAGAGAAAGUGACCAUAGGAGCUCAGUGCUCACUACUGCCUUCAGCUGUGCCUGGUGUCCCUGAGAUGAUGUUUUGCAGAUUCAAUUUCUCCCUCUGGUAUCCUGCAGGGGUUGUUACCAGGCUAAAAAGGGUUGGAGAGGGGAUAUAUCUCUGCCUUCCCGAGAUCAUCCACUCCUAGCCUCCUCUGGUGGGGUUCUCUGAGCACCGAGAACUUGUUGCCUCUCGUAGAAGAGGCCUGCACAUGCAUGAGGCCAAGAUGGACACUUUUCUGUUGUGUGGGUCUCAGAUUGCACUGCACAGUAUAUACAUUAUGAACCAAACAACCAGACUUUUUCUUUGGCUGCAUUACAUUUUCUCUUGGGAUAACGGAUGCAUUUCACUGAAGCUGCAGAAAGAAAAAGUGAAGAUCAAGAACCUGUGGGAAAUGGCAGCCGCCUUAUAGACAAAUGCCUAAUACUACGUGAUCAAAACCGUGCUGAGAGCCAGGGACACAACAGUCAGGUGCCCUGCCCUGAGGACAAGAGCGUGCAGGGACUGAUUUGUGAACAAGGUACCCUUUGUUACAGUACAUUAACAACUGGUAUUUUAUCUCGGUCACAUUGUAAUUUUAUUUUUGUGGUGUGGCCCAAGAAGAUCCAGCCAAGUUCAUGGUAAAAUUCUACUACUUAUUCACUUAACAGAUAUUUAGUAAGCACCUGCUAUUUUCCAGGCACUAUUCCAGAUGUCAGGAUUUUAACAGAGAACAAACUGACAAAGCUCCCUGAUCUCUUGAAGUUUAUGCUAUUGUGGAAGGAGACAGAAAAGUGAGGACGAUAUGUAAUGUGAGCUAAGAAUUUUGAAGGAAAGGCAAGCAGGGCAAGGAAGAGGGUAUGGCGGUGUGCGUGCCCUUUUAAGUGGGGGAGUUGGGGAGAGCCUUUCUGAUGAGGUGACUCAAAGCAGGGCCCCCAAGGAGGGGAGGGAGAGGCAGCUGUUUGGGGGAAAUCCUUUCCAGGCAGGAAGGCAGCAGGGACAGAGCCCGAGUGGCAGGUGUGCCUGGCCUGUUGGAGGAAUAGGAAGUCACUAAAUGAACAUCUGCGCUCCUCAUUCUCCUUGUGGGCAAGUCCAUGUUGGGAGGAGCAAAUGAAAUCAUUUAUGUAAACCAUCAAGCAUGGUAAAAAGUUGACUUCAUCCCGUAUUUGUAGAGUGUCUAAAUCAUCACAGAUCAUAACGAGUAUAUUACAAUUCUGUCCUUUCAUUUUUUUAUGAUUGAGGUGAAAUUCACAAAACAUAUAAUUAACCAUUUUAAAGUGUACAAUCCAGUGGCAUUUAGUGCAUUCACACUGUUGUGCAACCACCAUCUCUGUCUAGUUUCCAAUCUUUUCAUCACCCGGCCCUUUUAUUUUUAAUAUUAGUUUGUGUUGCUGCUCUUGAGAAAGGGUUCCCCGCCAUAUCUGACUUUGCCCUUUCUGUUUCUGGCUGGCCUUCCCCAGUUCCUAUGAUUCAUCCAGGUGCUUAUUCAACAGAUAAUUAUCAAGCAUUUACUGUGCAAUCGGCACCAGGUUGGGUAGGUACUGGGAAUGAAAUGCUGACAGAGGACACACUAGUACAGGUCCCCACAUAAUCUAGUGAGGGAUUUAGCCACUGAACAUAUCGUUGCCAGAAAAUGGAUUUAAAUUAUGAUAAAUGCUUAUAGAAAAAAUGCUUUGAAAAUUGUGUGUAAAGCUAAUAGAAGUGGAGAAGCCACUAGCUUUUAAGGCUCAGAAUAACAUGAUUAUAUAUAUUUUUUUUAAUAUAUUUUAUUGAUUUUUUACAGAGAGGAAGGGAGAGAGAGAGAGAGUUAGAAACAUCG